UUUCCGCGAGCCAGGCCCGCGCCUGCACCCGCGCGUGCAAAGUCGCGAGCUAGGUCUCGUCUUCCGGUCCUGUCGGCUCGCAUUUUCCCCAGCUCCCCGCCGCUCUCUUCUCUGAUGCGACGCAUUUGGAUCUCGUCGUCCUCGCUGCAUCUACCGUUCGCCGUCGCAUCUCCUCACCGGUGCCAAGGAUAAAGAAGAACUAGAGAUCAGCUAGCUAGAGGAAGAAGAAGAAGAUAGACAAGCUAGUUUGUUUUGUAUUUGUGCUGUUGGGAUUAAGAGAUCAGCUAGCUAGAGUAGAUAUUGUAGACAGUAAAAAGUGCCUUCAGAGCUGUUCUGUGUAUGUAUGCAAAAUAUAGGACCUUGUGAAUGUUGACAAUGGAAUACACAGAAGUACAUCAAUUUUCAUUUGUUUUCUUUCCCUGUUUAGCUGCCUCUUUGAUUCCAAGGAUUUCAUAUGAAAUUGCAGACAUUAUGAUUUC